UACGUAGGGCGCAAGCGUUGUCCGGAAUUAUUGGGCGUAAAGAGCUCGUAGGCGGUCUGUUACGUCUGCUGUGAAAACCCAGGGCUUAACCCUGGGCUUGCAGUGGAUACGGGCAGACUAGAGGCAGGUAGGGGAGAAUGGAAUUCCCGGUGUAGCGGUGAAAUGCGCAGAUAUCGGGAGGAACACCGGUGGCGAAGGCGGCCCCCUGGUUGGAUACUGACGCUGAGACGCGAAAGCGUGGGGAGCAAACAGG
rnacentral:rRNA from 1 species